rnacentral:rRNA from 1 species
AUGGAGGCGGACGCCGGGAAGCUGUUCAUCGGUGGCAUCUCGUGGGACACCAACGAGGACCGCCUCCGGGAGUACUUUGAGAAGUACGGGGAGGUGGUGGAGGCUGUCAUCAUGCGCGACCGAGCCACGGGCCGCGCCCGGGGCUUCGGGUUCAUCGUGUUCACCGACCCAGCAGUUGCAGAGCGUGUAAUAAUGGAGAAGCAUAUGAUCGACGGCCGGAUGGUGGAGGCCAAGAAAGCUGUCCCUAGAGACGAUCAGCAAGCUCUUAGCAAGAGUGGUGGCAGUGCUCAUGGAUCACCAGGGCCCAGUCGCACCAAGAAGAUUUUCGUUGGUGGUCUUGCAUCCACCGUGACAGAGGCAGACUUCAGGAUGUAUUUUGAGCAGUUUGGCACGAUCACUGAUGUUGUGGUGAUGUAUGAUCACAACACACAGCGUCCUAGAGGGUUUGGGUUCAUAACGUACGAUUCUGAAGACGCUGUGGACAAGGCAUUGUUCAAGACAUUCCAUGAACUUAAUGGUAAGAUGGUUGAAGUCAAGAGGGCUGUUCCUAAGGAGCUAUCACCUGGACCUAGCAUGCGCUCUCCUGCUGGCGGAAUCAACUAUGUUAUGAACAGAGCCAAUAGCUUUCUCAAUGGAUAUACCCAAGGUUACAGUCCGAGCCCGGUAGGUGGUUAUGGAAUGAGGAUGGAUGCAAGGUUUGGGCUUCUAUCAGGCGGCCGUAGUAGUUAUCCUUCUUUUGGUGGUGGUUAUGGAAUUGGUAUGAACUUUGACCCAGGGAUGAACCCAGGUAUUGGCGGUAGCUCGAACUUCAACAAUAGUGUCCAGUAUGGACGGCAGAUCAAUCCAUACUACAGUGGUAAUUCGGGUAGAUACAAUAGCAACAUUAGCUAUGGUGGAGUCAACGACAAUUCUGGGUCAGUGUUCAACUCACUGGCUCGUAAUCUGUGGGGUAAUUCAGGUCUCAAUUACUCUUCCAACUCUGCAAACUCUAAUUCCUUCAUGUCAUCUGCAAAUGGGGGGCUUGGUGGAAUCGGGAAUAACAAUGUGAAUUGGGGAACCCCUCCUGUGCCUGCUCAGGGUGCUAACGCUGGCUCGGGCUAUGGCAGUGGGAGCUUUGGUUAUGGAUCGACUGAAAACAACUUCAAUCUGAGUCCCGGUGCUUAUGGAAGGAACACUGGAUCAGGAGGCGUCAAUGCUUCACUCAACCAGUCAAGCAAUGGAUAUGGGAGGAACUUUGGAGAUUCGUCAGCGGGUGGUGGUGGCUCCAUCUAUGGAGACACAACUUGGAGAUCUGGAUCUGAGCUUGAUGGAACCAGCCCAUUUGGAUAUGGGCUUGGGAAUGCAGCUUCAGAUGUUACAGCAAAGAGCUCAGCGGGUUACAUGGGGCAUUAA